CCUGCUGCAUGGUGGGGGUUGGAAAGUUUCGGCGGUUGGGGAUGGACUCGCGGCUUAUCAGCUUGUUGGUGGGGUAGUGGCUUACCAAGGGCUUUGACGGGUAGCCGGCCUGAGAGGGUGACCGGCCACAUUGGGACUGAGAUACGGCCCAGACUCCUACGGGAGGCAGCAGUGGGGAAUAUUGCACAAUGGGUGGAGCCUGAUGCAGCAACGCCGUGUGCGGGAUGACGGCCUUCGGGUUGUAAACCGCUUUCGCUCAUGACGAAGCUUCGUGUGACGGUAGUGGGUAAAGAAGCACCGGCUAACUACGUG
rnacentral:rRNA from 1 species